rnacentral:lncRNA from 1 species
AAGAGACUAAGCAAAGGUAGCUGCUUGUGAUGUAUUUGGGAUAAAUAAUAAUUGAUGUAACUUCCUUUGCCACACGUUUCCAAGAUCAUCGCCUCUUAAAAGACACCCUUGGUGAUUUUUUAAGAAUCUUUUUUGAUUUAAAUGUUUGUUUUAAUGAAAAGAUUGAUGCUAAAUUAGCCGUUGCUAGCGUGUUAGCAUAGUUUUGUGUGUGGAGCUCAUAGCCGGUCUUCUUUUCCCAGAUUUGGAGGAUACAUCUGACAUCUACACAGCCGCAGGUAUCCCAAGAUUCAUUGCGCGCCCAGAGAAAGAAUUUCUGACGAAAUAUGGCGCCCUUUGACCCAGCAGUAGCGGCAACUGGAUAUACUUUUAAAUGGAGAAGGAGAGGAAGGCAGAAGAGAGGAGUGUAGGGAGAGGAUGGACAGACUCUUCUCUCUGCUGGAGAAACUUGUUGUCAAAUGAAAUACCGCGGGGAGCUCCACCGGGUGGCAGUAGUGGGCCAGAACGCCACCUUACUGCAGGAGAUUGCUCUGUUCACCUCACAGGAACCUGUCAAUAAUAUAUUACUGCACCAGGUAUUUGCACAUUUAUUCACACACAUGCUGCACA